rnacentral:lncRNA from 1 species
UCAAGGGGGUCCAAGUGUCUUAUUAUGGUUCUCAGUUCACCAGUGGAAGAUUCAGAGCUCUUAGAGUGUGCAUCUGGAUUUAAUCAGAAAUUAGGGUUUCAUGGCUACCUGCAACAGGCAAGGUUUGGUUGGAAGUGAAGGGUCUCAUUCAUGUCAUGAUUAUAGAGGCAUCUUGGCCUAAGAAGAUCCACAAUUAUCUCACAAAGAUCCAUUGGCAAUUAGUGCAAUCAGUCCCUGAUCAGUUUUGC